AGGGAUAGGGUCGGUUCGGCCGGGUUUCACACAGGUGUUGCAUGGCUGUCGUCAGCUCGUGUCGUGAGAUGUUGGGUUAAGUCCUGCAACGAGCGCAACCCUCAUCCUUAGUUACCAUCAGGUAAUGCUGGGGACUUUAAGGAAACUGCCAGUGAUAAACUGGAGGAAGGUGGGGAUGAUGUCAAGUCAUCAUGGCCCUUAUGGAGUGGGCUACACACGUGCUACAAUGGUGGCUACAAUGGGCUGCAAAGUCGCGAGGCUAAGCCAAUCCCUUAAAAGCCAUCUCAGUUCGGAUUGUACUCUGCAACUCGAGUGCAUGAAGUUGGAAUCGCU
rnacentral:rRNA from 1 species